rnacentral:tRNA from 1 species
GCGAGGGUGGCGGAAUGGUAUACGCGCUGGUCUCAGAAGCCAGUGGUCGAAAGGCCGUAGGAGUUCAAGUCUCCUUCCUCGCACCA